UGAACCACGUAUGCAUCUAAAGACAUACUCGGUAUUUACUAGUAGUGAUGAUUUCAGGUUUAUUUUGGAGCUGAUCUGGGCUUUUCAUCGAUACAUUUUCAUAGAUCUUCGGAUAAGCCAUAACUUCUUAUUGUUGAUCACGUGCUUUUACAAACUUGAAACCUGCUAUUUUCUCUAUGAUUUUAAUGACAUUAAAAACUUCACGAAAUUCACAUCAACUGUGAGGUUAUAAAAAUCAUAGAGAAAAUAGCUGAAAGAGUUAGCCACAAGAGCUGCUAAGCUAAUCUUGAAGAAUUAACCUUUUUUAUAUGCACGUUAUUAUACGUUUGUACAUAGCUGAAAGACAAUGUAGGGUCACGCGGGGGAGCAAUAACUUGCGGAUGCGUUUUUAUUAGAGUGACAUGGAUUUCUAUCAAUUUGCUACCACUAUGCUCCGAACUCCCCACCUUUCAAACAAAACUAAAUCGAAAGAAUGGAAAUACGAGUAGGGAAUUGAAGCCAAGGAAGAAAACUAGUGAAUCCAAACCUAAUCCAAUCGAAUUGACAAGAGCGCUACUUAAGGAUGCUGCAAUGAAGAAAUGAUCUUGGCAUACAUGCAUAUCAAGCAUUUACAUUGUUUAUCAUUAUGAACAUAAAAAAUAAGCAUAGUCAAAUAAGUAUUUAACAUUUCAAAUAAUAUCCAACUGUUUAUAGCAACUGCUUUUAAUGAAGUACAUGAAUCUGUCCA